GGCUGCGAGGCCACAGGACCCCAGGGAACAUCAGGACGGAAGGCAAAGGGGCGGAAAGGAGUGCACAGAGGGAUAAGAAAAGAUCCAUAUUCUGUAUUUAUUUGAGCUGCCCAGCCCAGGCCUGCAGGAUAGGGCCCCACUCCAUCAAGGCUCCUGUUUCCUCCUGAGCCCGAGCAGAUGGUACCUUCUCUUAUAGCCUCCAUCCUUCCCAGAACACUCCAGGUACUAUUUUCUAUUUUCUGGGGGCAUUUGGCAUAGUUCACUGUUUCCUGAGAGGCAGCAUAGCUUAGCGGAGAGCUCUCAGGCUUUGGUGUCAGUGAUUUGUGGGUCUGACCCCUGAUCCACCAGGCGUGCUAUCUGAUCUUGGAUUUCUCAGCUCUUCUAGAACUGAGCCUCAGUUUCUUCAGCUAUAAAAUGGGGAAAAUAUCUGCCUCUCAGGAUUGAGGUUAAAUAAAGUGUGAACUCAGCACAGGCCUGGCACACAGUAGGUGCUUAGAUAUCUGUUUUCAAAUUUCUGUCUUAAUGUGUAGUUUGUAUCUUCUUUAUUAUUUCCACCUUAAGAAAUAAAAGUUUGGGAUGAAAAGUA